GGAGGGGGUUAGCGUUGUUCGGAAUGACUGGGCGUAAAGCGCGCGUAGGCGGACCAUCAGGUCGGGGGGGAAAUCCCGGGGCUCAACCCCGGAAUGGCCUUCGAGACUGGUGGUCUUGAGUUCGAGAGAGGUGAGUGGAAUUCCGAGUGUAGAGGUGAAAUGCGCAGAUAUCAGGAGGAACACCAAUGGCGAAGGCAGCUCGCUGGGACGGUACUGACGCUGAGGCGCGAAAGCGUGGGGAGCAAACAGG
rnacentral:rRNA from 1 species